CACGUAGGGUGCGAGCGUUGUCCGGAAUUAUUGGGCGUAAAGAGCUCGUAGGCGGUGUGUCGCGUCGGCCGUGAAAACCUGCAGCUUAACUGUGGGCUUGCGGUCGAUACGGGCAUCACUGGAGUUCGGCAGGGGAGACUGGAAUUCCUGGUGUAGCGGUGAAAUGCGCAGAUAUCAGGAGGAACACCGGUGGCGAAGGCGGCUUCCUGGACCGACACUGACGCUGAGGCGCGAAAGCUAGGGGAGCAAACGGG
rnacentral:rRNA from 1 species